GCUGGGUGUGGUGGUGCAUGCCUGUAAUCUCAACGACUCAGGAGGUAGAGGUAGGAGGAUUGCAAGUUUAAGGCCAGCCUCAGCAGUUUAGUGAGACCCUGCCUCAA
rnacentral:sRNA from 1 species